GCAUUCAUGAGCUUCUUCAGUUGAGUGCUUCUCUUAAUCCUGAAGAAUACUUCAUUACCAUCCUGGCCUUUGACCUUGAGGUUGAUGUGAGCCGAUUGAUCGGUGGGCUUCUUGUCCUCCUCUUGAUUAGUGACUCCAGACAUUUUCUAAUAUCUUCGCAGCUCGUCGAUUUACAGCGGAUGAGAAUGAGUAUGCAACCAGUG
rnacentral:misc_RNA from 1 species